CGGUGGGAAGGGAAAACCCAGCAGGCUCUGUUCGCGAGAUCUGGGCUCUAGGCUCACGGCAAGGAAACCAGGGCCCCCACUCCUGGUUGCAGCGUCUCUGCGUGCACACUUUAGCAAAUAUUCCCGAAGAGGGGGUGGGGAGGUGACGGCUGCCUUGGGCGUGGGGAGAGUGAGCCCUGCGGUGUAAUGGAAAAAACGGAUUCUGGAGGUGGACUUACUGAGGCAAACAUGACUGUUCCCUGGGUUGCUCCUGAAGUCAGCCUUCUGGAAAGUUCCUCUGAGGAAGAAGUGAAUUGUUGAUCCACCCAAGUUUCCCAACCCCAGCCGCCAAGGACCUGGUGGCACUGGUCAGGAGUCCUCAUGCUGGUGAGGAGUGGGGACUAGCGUCUUACACAAUGCUUCUGCAUUCCUGUCAGAAGAGGCCAGCACUCUUGGGCUUGGAUUCCUGGAGCAGAAUGAGAAAACUAAAGGUAAGAGCACCAAGUUGAAAACUGGGCCAUGUGGCUUCUAGGCCAGGUUCUUUCACUUCACCAGGAAACCUUGGGCUAGUCCUUGAUUCACUUGCCUGUGCCUCAGUUUCCUCGUCUCCACAAUGAGUAUUGGUUCCUUUUUAUUUACAAAUGUUUCAGAUGUAAUCAAGACAUUCCAACAUAUUACACAGGGAGAGAGCAGCUGCUGUGGCUGGAGGGCAGGUGUGAGGAAGAGACCUACUCCACCUACGCCCCGCACAAGCAAGAAAGCUCCUUGAAGGCAGGUACUGGACCCCAACUCUUGUAUUCAAUGUAAAAUCUGGUCCAGUACCUGGCACAGAGAGAUGUUGAGAAAGUAUGAACCAAUGGAAAGCAGAGCAAAUAAUCUGGUACACUGAAACCUAUACAGGUAGGAGAAUCUAUACUCUCAAUGAGUAAUAAACAGGUGUUUCACUGGUUUUGGCUGUGGUAGGGAAAAAGAAUUAACAGUAAUAAAACUGGAAAGGUACUAUUUAUACACUCUGCAAAAAUUAUGAUCCAAUUAGAAAGACUUUUUGUCAAAAGAGAGAAUUCCAAAACCAGAAAUCUCCUGUGUGGCAGUAACCCAAAUGAUGGGGUCUAAAACACAUUUAAAGUGCGGGACUGAAGGCCAGCCUCCUGCCUGCAGACAGGCAUUAUUAAUCACCAUAGAGCAGGAGGUCUGUACCAGCACAGGCUCACCGACAGGGCUAUAUAAGCCCCUGUGAAGACCACCAGGGCAAAGGGAAUUUUAUUUUGUUCCCUGUAGUUUUAAAAUUCUAAGUUCACGGACAUUUCCCCAUGACUUUUAACUUAGGAGGACCAACGUGCGUGCAUCAG